rnacentral:sRNA from 1 species
UGUACAGAGUACUUCUUCUAACCCUAAAGCUCUCUGGCUUCCUGUACGGUAUUUAUACUGUUUUGUCUUAGGCUUUCAGUAUAUUACAGGAGGUUUUCCGCGUUUCCGAUGCUUCUAAAAAAAAGCUGUAGAGUACUCUGAUGCUCGGUCUCACAGGUUUGACUGUUUGUGCGCGGACAGUCCGACUGCCGCGAAGAGUUCAACUCUGCUGCACAUGCGUCGGAUCUGUGGGCGUUCAGCACGCUGAGCAGAAUAAAUUGAGCAUGGCGAACUUUUGCGGACCUCUCCACUGAUCCUGCAAAUAAGCCCGCGCUCAGACACUC